rnacentral:rRNA from 1 species
UACAGAGGGUGCGAGCGUUAAUCGGAAUUACUGGGCGUAAAGGGCGCGUAGGUGGUUAAUUAAGUCAGAUGUGAAAUCCCUGGGCUUAACCUAGGAAUUGCAUAUGAUACUGAUUAGCUAGAGUACAGAAGAGGGAAGUGGAAUUUCCGGUGUAGCGGUGAAAUGCGUAGAUAUCGGAAGGAACACCAGUGGCGAAGGCGACUUCCUGGUCUGUUACUGACACUGAGGCGCGAAAGCGUGGGGAGCGAACAGG